GAUGAACGCUGGCGGCGUGCCUAAUACAUGCAAGUCGAGCGAACGGACGAGAAGCUUGCUUCUCUGAUGUUAGCGGCGGACGGGUGAGUAACACGUGGAUAACCUACCUAUAAGACUGGGAUAACUUCGGGAAACCGGAGCUAAUACCGGAUAAUAUUUUGAACCGCAUGGUUCAAAAGUGAAAGACGGUCUUGCUGUCACUUAUAGAUGGAUCCGCGCUGCAUUAGCUAGUUGGUAAGGUAACGGCUUACCAAGGCAACGAUGCAUAGCCGACCUGAGAGGGUGAUCGGCCACACUGGAACUGAGACACGGUCCAGACUCCUACGGGAGGCAGCAGUAGGGAAUCUUCCGCAAUGGGCGAAAGCCUGACGGAGCAACGCCGCGUGAGUGAUGAAGGUCUUCGGAUCGUAAAACUCUGUUAUUAGGGAAGAACAUAUGUGUAAGUAACUGUGCACAUCUUGACGGUACCUAAUCAGAAAGCCACGGCUAACUACGUGCCAGCAGCCGCGGUAAUACGUAGGUGGCAAGCGUUAUCCGGAAUUAUUGGGCGUAAAGCGCGCGUAGGCGGUUUUUUUAAGUCUGAUGUGAAAGCCCACGGCUCAACCGUGGAGGGUCAUUGGAAACUGGAAAACUUGAGUGCAGAAGAGGAAAGUGGAAUUCCAUGUGCAGCGGUGAAAUGCGCAGAGAUAUGGAGGAACACCAGUGGCGAAGGCGACUUUCUGGUCUGUAACUGACGCUGAUGUGCGAAAGCGUGGGGAUCAAACAGGAUUAGAUACCCUGGUAGUCCACGCCGUAAACGAUGAGUGCUAAGUGUUAGGGGGUUUCCGCCCCUUAGUGCUGCAGCUAACGCAUUAAGCACUCCGCCUGGGGAGUACGACCGCAAGGUUGAAACUCAAAGGAACUGACGGGGACCCGCACAAGCGGUGGAGCAUGUGGUUUAAUUCGAAGCAACGCGAAGAACCUUACCAAAUCUUGACAUCCUUUGACAACUCUAGAGAUAGAGCCUUCCCCUUCGGGGGACAAAGUGACAGGUGGUGCAUGGUUGUCGUCAGCUCGUGUCGUGAGAUGUUGGGUUAAGUCCCGCAACGAGCGCAACCCUUAAGCUUAGUUGCCAUCAUUAAGUUGGGCACUCUAAGUUGACUGCCGGUGACAAACCGGAGGAAGGUGGGGAUGACGUCAAAUCAUCAUGCCCCUUAUGAUUUGGGCUACACACGUGCUACAAUGGACAAUACAAAGGGCAGCGAAACCGCGAGGUCAAGCAAAUCCCAUAAAGUUGUUCUCAGUUCGGAUUGUAGUCUGCAACUCGACUACAUGAAGCUGGAAUCGCUAGUAAUCGUAGAUCAGCAUGCUACGGUGAAUACGUUCCCGGGUCU
rnacentral:rRNA from 1 species